GACGAACGCUGGCGGCGUGCCUAAUACAUGCAAGUGGGACGCAAGGACACACACUGUGCUUGCACACCGUGUUUUCUUGAGUCGCGAACGGGUGAGUAACGCGUAGGUAACCUGCCUAUUAGCGGGGGAUAACUAUUGGAAACGAUAGCUAAUACCGCAUAAUAUUAAUUAUUGCAUGAUAAUUGAUUGAAAGUUGCAAGCGCAUCACUAGUAGAUGGACCUGCGUUGUAUUAGCUAGUUGGUAAGGUAAGAGCUUACCAAGGCGACGAUACAUAGCCGACCUGAGAGGGUGAUCGGCCACACUGGGACUGAGACACGGCCCAGACGCCUUCGGGAGGCAGCAGUAGGGAAACUUCGGCAAUGGACGAAAGUCUGACCGAGCAACGCCGCGUGAGUGAAGAAGGUUUUCGGAUCGUAAAGCUCUGUUGUAAGUCAAGAACGUGUGUGAGAGUGGAAAGUUCACACAGUGACGGUAGCUUACCAGAAAGGGACGGCUAACUACGUG
rnacentral:rRNA from 1 species